rnacentral:rRNA from 1 species
UACGGAGGGUGCGAGCGUUGUCCGGAAUCACUGGGCGUAAAGGGCGCGUAGGCGGACAGUUUAGUCAGAGGUGAAAGCCCAGGGCUCAACCUUGGAAUUGACUUUGAUACUGGCUGUCUUGAGUUCGGGAGAGGUGAGUGGAAUGCCGAGUGUAGAGGUGAAAUUCGUAGAUAUUCGGCGGAACACCAGUGGCGAAGGCGACUCACUGGCCCGAUACUGACGCUGAGGCGCGAAAGCGUGGGGAGCAAACAGG